rnacentral:rRNA from 1 species
UACGUAGGGGGCUAGCGUUGUCCGGAAUCAUUGGGCGUAAAGCGCGUGUAGGCGGUCCGGUAAGUCCGCUGUGAAAGUCGGGGGCUCAACCCUCGGAUGCCGGUGGAUACUGUCGGGCUUGAGUACGGAAGAGGCGAGUGGAAUUCCUGGUGUAGCGGUGGAAUGCGCAGAUAUCAGGAGGAACACCGAUAGCGAAGGCAGCUCGCUGGGACGGUACUGACGCUGAGGUGCGAAAGCGUGGGGAGCGAACAGG